AACGAACGCUGGCGGCAUGCCUAACACAUGCAAGUCGAACGAGACCUUCGGGCCUAGUGGCGCACGGGUGCGUAACGCGUGGGAAUCUGCCCUUGGGUUCGGAAUAACUCAGAGAAAUUUGAGCUAAUACCGGAUGAUGACGUAAGUCCAAAGAUUUAUCGCCCAAGGAUGAGCCCGCGUAAGAUUAGCUUGUUGGUGGGGUAAUGGCCUACCAAGGCGACGAUCUUUAGCUGGUCUGAGAGGAUGAUCAGCCACACUGGGACUGGGACACGGCCCAGACUCCUACGGGAGGCAGCAGUGGGGAAUAUUGGACAAUGGGCGAAAGCCUGAUCCAGCAAUGCCGCGUGAGUGAUGAAGGCCUUAGGGUUGUAAAGCUCUUUUACCAGGGAUGAUAAUGACAGUACCUGGAGAAUAAGCUCCGGCUAACUCCGUGCCAGCCGCCGCGGUAA
rnacentral:rRNA from 1 species